rnacentral:misc_RNA from 1 species
AGCAGCCGCGGUAAUUCCAGCUCCAAUAGCGUAUAUUAAAGUUGUUGCAGUUAAAAGCUCGUAGUUGAAUUUCGGGAUCAAUUAAUCGGUCGUGCCUCUGGUACGCACUGGUUUUAUUGGUUUCUCCCUUCUGACGAACCAGGAUGUCAUUAAUUUGGUGUCUUGGAGAAUCAGGACUGUUACUUUGAAAAAUUGAGUGUUUAAAGCAGGCUAACGCUUGAAUACAUUAGCAUGGAAUAAUGAAAUAGGACGUUUGAUCCUAUUU